rnacentral:rRNA from 60 species
GGUCAAGCUACAAAGGG